CUCAUAUCUGAAAUUAAAUUAAUGUUGCUAAUCUUUUAUGCUAAUAUUUGGGAAUCAACGGGUUGGCACUGAAAUUGUCUUAACUCAAGUACUUUCCAAUUUCAUAUUCUCACGUUUAGUAUUUAUUUCAACUUCUGUCUUGCUUUAUUUUCUAGUAUUUGUUAUCUAAAAAAAUCAUGUUAUCAAUCCAUCUAAAUGCGUGUGCGUGUGUGUGACAUUCUUUUUUUUCUUUUGCCAUAAAUAAAUCUCUCAGUGGACGACCUGGACUUAUCCAGAAAGUAUAAAUUUAAAUUUGAACUACAACUGCACUCGUACACUGACGAGUAUAAACCUCUCGCCUAAAUAAAUAAAUAAAAUAUAAAAUUUUUAUUGUGUUUUGUUUUGUGUUUUAAUUGCAGGGUGAGAGUGCAGUCAGGAGUACCGACCCGGGAUGGCGCGCACAGGAUGCUGGAGGUAUUUGUUACCGUCCAGGGCAGCGACAUGUUGGUAGUGGCAGCAUGGACCGUGGCAAGGAAAUCAGUGUCUAGCGGCAGAGUCGGCACCCCGUUCAAGUAGUCCAGGUGAUUGAGAAUAUUCGGGCGAGAAUGAUUACAAUCAACCUAAGAGCUAACAGCAUAUGAACAAAUAGCAUAUGAAAACA